GAUGAACGCUGGCGGCGUGCCUAAUACAUGCAAGUCGAGCGAACAGAUAAGGAGCUUGCUCCUUUGACGUUAGCGGCGGACGGGUGAGUAACACGUGGAUAACCUACCUAUAAGACUGGGAUAACUUCGGGAAACCGGAGCUAAUACCGGAUAACAUAUUGAACCGCAUGGUUCAAUAGUGAAGGCGGCUUUGCUGUCACUUAUAGAUGGAUCCGCGCCGUAUUAGCUAGUUGGUAAGGUAACGGCUUACCAAGGCAACGAUACGUAGCCGACCUGAGAGGGUGAUCGGCCACACUGGAACUGAGACACGGUCCAGACUCCUACGGGAGGCAGCAGUAGGGAAUCUUCCGCAAUGGGCGAAAGCCUGACGGAGCAACGCCGCGUGAGUGAUGAAGGUCUUCGGAUCGUAAAACUCUGUUAUCAGGGAAGAACAAAUGUGUAAGUAACUGUGCACAUCUUGACGGUACCUGAUCAGAAAGCCACGGCUAACUACGUG
rnacentral:rRNA from 1 species